rnacentral:rRNA from 1 species
AUUGAACGCUAGCGGGAUGCUUAACACAUGCAAGUCGAACGAGCGGCGGACGGGUGAGUAAUAUAUAGUAACGUGCCCAGUAGCGGGGGAUAACUACUCGAAAGAGUGGCUAAUACCGCAUUCUAUUACAGCGGCCGAUAUGGGAUUAGCUAGUUGGUGGGGUAAAGGCUCACCAAGGCAACGAUCAGUAGCUGGCUUGAGAGGAUGACCAGCCACACUGGGACUGAGACACGGCCCAGACUCCUACGGGAGGCAGCAGUGGGGAAUUUUGGACAAUGGGGGAAACCCUGAUCCAGCCAUGCCGCGUGUAUGAGAAGGCCUUCGGGUUGUAAAGUACUUUUGGCAGCGAAGCGGUAUAUGCAGAAGAAGCACCGGCUAACUACGUGCCAGCCGCCGCGGUAAUUC